rnacentral:rRNA from 1 species
UACGGAGGGUGCAAGCGUUAAUCGGAAUUACUGGGCGUAAAGCGUGCGUAGGCGGUUGUCUAAGUUGGAUGUGAAAGCCCCGGGCUCAACCUGGGAACUGCAUCCAAAACUGGGCGACUAGAGUGCGAGAGAGGAGUGUGGAAUUUCCUGUGUAGCGGUGAAAUGCGUAGAUAUAGGAAGGAACACCAGUGGCGAAGGCGACACUCUGGCUUGACACUGACGCUGAGGUACGAAAGCGUGGGGAGCAAACAGG